UACGUAGGGUGCGAGCGUUAAUCGGAAUUACUGGGCGUAAAGAGUGCGCAGGCGGAUAUGUAAGUUAGAUGUGAAAUACCCGGGCUCAACCUGGGAAUGGCAUUUAAAACUGCGUAUCUAGAGUUUGUCAGAGGGGGGUAGAAUUCCAAGUGUAGCAGUGAAAUGCGUAGAGAUUUGGAGGAAUACCGGUGGCGAAGGCGGCCCCCUGGGAUAGAACUGACGCUCAGGCACGAAAGCGUGGGUAGCAAACAGGAUUAGAUACCCUGGUAGUCCACGCCCUAAACGAUGUCUACUUGCUGUUGGGGGUAGAACCUUAGUAGCGAAGCUAACGCGAGAAGUAGACCGCCUGGGGAGUACGGUCGCAAGAUUA
rnacentral:rRNA from 1 species